rnacentral:rRNA from 1 species
ACAUACAUAUAUAUGUAUGUAUAUGUAUAAUCUCGUUUGAUCACAAAAGCUAAGCAGGGUUGGGCCUGGUUAUCACUUGGAUGGGAGACUUCCUGGGAAUACCAGAUGCUGUAGGUA